CCUGGAAACACAGCACUGAGCGAGGGUUCCGGGGCCUUCUCUACUUCCCCACCACCUCUAGAGAACGGGUAGCAAAGGAUGGAGGGAGAGAAGCCUGCGUGCUGGGAUUAUGACGUCAGUCGAGAAGGAACAGAGUGACCUCCUUGGGAGUGAUAUGUUUAGCAGUUGGAUUUCUGGGACAAAUACUUUGGAAUAAUAAAGUGGAGGAAUUCCAUGGAGACUGGAACGACCUCUAGGAAGUGAUGCAGAGUGAAAGAAGAACCAGGAGAACAUUGUACACAGAGACUGAUAUACUGUGGUACAAUCGAAGGUAAUGGAGUUUUCUACUAGCAGCAAUAUAUGACCCAGAACAAUUCUGAGGGACUUAUGAGAAAGAACUCUAUCCACAUCCAGAGGAAGAACUGUGGGAGCAGAAACACAGAAGAAAAGCAACUACUUGAUCACAUGGUUCAAUGGGGAUAUGAUUGAGGAUGUAGACUCUAAGUCAUCACCCUAGUUCAGAUAUUAAUAAUAUGGAAAUAGGUCUUGAUCAAUGACACAUGUAAAACCCAGUGGCAUUGCUCAUUGGCUACAGGAGGGGGAUGGGAGGAGGGGAGAGAAAGAACAUGAAUCAUGUAACCAUGGAAAAAUUUUCUUAAUUAAAUAAAUUUUUUUUAAUUGUUGGCUGUGAA